GACGAACGCUGGCGGCGUGCUUAACACAUGCAAGUCGAACGGAAAGGCCCUGCUUUUGUGGGGUGCUCGAGUGGCGAACGGGUGAGUAACACGUGAGUAACCUGCCCUUGACUUUGGGAUAACUUCAGGAAACUGGGGCUAAUACCGGAUAGGAGCUCCUGCUGCAUGGUGGGGGUUGGAAAGUUUCGGCGGUUGGGGAUGGACUCGCGGCUUAUCAGCUUGUUGGUGGGGUAGUGGCUUACCAAGGCUUUGACGGGUAGCCGGCCUGGGAGGGUGACCGGCCACAUUGGGACUGGGAUACGGCCCAGACUCCUACGGGGGGCAGCAGUGGGGAAUAUUGCACAAGGGGCGGAACCCUGAUGCAGCAACGCCGCGUGCGGGAUGACGGCCUUCGGGUUGUAAACCGCUUCCGCCUGUGACGAAGCGUGAGUGACGGUAACGGGUAAAGAAGCACCGGCUAACUACGUG
rnacentral:rRNA from 1 species